ACAUUUUGACCAAAAAAACAUCGAUCACAGAUCUCUCUCUCUCCCCAGCCCCCCUCUUUUCUCUCUCUCUCCCCUCGAUAACAGAUCUUCACGUCUUUGUCUCUUCUUCCAAUUCCGGCGAACACCGGCACGGCUCUAUCGGAUCUUGCACCAUCGUCGUCACCUUCGAUUUCCAGAAAAUGAAACUGAUCAAAAAAUUAUAGAUCGAAUGAAAAUGAGAGAGGAGCAGGCAGCUCGUCGGCGGUCGUCUGAUCGCUGCUUGAUGAUUGUGAUCGGAAAGGUGAGAGGAGGAUCGCGACGAUGAUGAAGGUGCACGGCGAGGCGAGGCAAGGCAACCCAAGCAUCGACGACGUCGUAUAGGGCUCAGUUUGGUGUUGACUCCUUUAAGCCUCCUGAUUUUCAAGCCACCUGAUUCUCAUGAAGCGACAGCUCCGACUCGUCUCAUGCCUCCACCGCCGCCGUCCCCCGCUUAACCUUUCACAACGAUUUUCCGGCAACCGCUCACUCCAGAGUUCUUUCCCUUUGCAUUUGUAGUAGUAGAUUUUGAAAAUCAUGUGACUUUGGAUAUUGAAGCCUCCAUUGAACAAGAGAUCAUUGCCAACCAAAAAAUGUUGAAAUGAAGGCUCGUGUUGAAGGUGGCAAAUGAUUCAUAUGGGUCUAGAGCGUCACCAUUGAAAAAUGACAGUAGCAUUACAACAUUGACAAUAGCUUUAUACAACUAUUGUAAUAGAUUUUCAAACUAUGGUAGUGGCUUUUUACAAGUAUGGAAGUAGCUUUUUAUAUAGUUACAUUAUUG